rnacentral:rRNA from 1 species
CAGGAUUUGACAUGGGGAGGACCGGUACAGAGAUGUACUUUUCCCGCAAGGGACCUUCCGCACAGGUGCUGCAUGGCUGUCGUCAGCUCGUGUCGUGAGAUGUUGGGUUAAGUCCCGCAACGAGCGCAACCCUCGCCUUUAGUUGCCAUCAUUUAGUUGGGCACUCUAGAGGAACUGCCGGUGACAAGCCGGAGGAAGGUGGGGAUGACGUCAAGUCCUCAUGGCCCUUAUGUCCUGGGCUACACACGUGCUACAAUGGUGGUGACAGUGGGAAGCUAGGUAGUGAUACCAUGCUGAUCUCUAAAAGCCAUCUCAGUUCAGAUUGUACUCUGCAACU